UACGUAGGGUGCAAGCGUUAAUCGGAAUUACUGGGCGUAAAGCGUGCGCAGGCGGUGAUGUAAGACAGGUGUGAAAUCCCGGGCUUAACCUGGGAACUGCAUUUGUGACUGCAUCGCUGGAGUGCGGCAGAGGGGGAUGGAAUUCCGCGUGUAGCAGUGAAAUGCGUAGAUAUGCGGAGGAACACCGAUGGCGAAGGCAAUCCCUGGGCCUGCACUGACGCUCAUGCACGAAGCGUGGGAGC
rnacentral:rRNA from 1 species